CCUUGUUGAGUUAGGAGAAAGACUUCUUCUUGUUUUCCUUGUCUGUGUAGGCUUUGGCCUUUGUACUAAGCUCUGCGCUUGUACAUAAACCAAUUAGUGAGAAUCAAAUCAAUUCAUACACCAAUUUUUUCUUUCUGAAACCCAAUUCUGAAACCCUAAACACACAGCAAGAACAUGGCCGAAACACAAACACAAAGCUACACCAUGGCCGAAAAACCUGCAAGUAACGACUGUAAGAACAAUAAGCUUCUGAAUUUGGACGACGUAGACCCCAAGGUGCGCAGCAGCGUGGAAAACCUCCUGGAGAUCCAGAGGAAACACGAAAAACUCGAUGCUAAAUUCCG
rnacentral:lncRNA from 1 species